CACAUGCAAGUCGAGCGGAGUGAUGGUGCUUGCACUAUCACUUAGCGGCGGACGGGUGAGUAAUACUUAGGAAUCUGCCUAUUAGUGGGGGACAACAUCUCGAAAGGGAUGCUAAUACCGCAUACGUCCUACGGGAGAAAGCAGGGGAUCUUUAUGACCUUGCGCUAAUAGAUGAGCCUAAGUCGGAUUAGCUAGUUGGUGGGGUAAAGGCCUACCAAGGCGACGAUCUGUAGCGGGUCUGAGAGGAUGAUCCGCCACACUGGGACUGAGACACGGCCCAGACUCCUACGGGAGGCAGCAGUGGGGAAUAUUGGACAAUGGGGGGAACCCUGAUCCAGCCAUGCCGCGUGUGUGAAGAAGGCCUUAUGGUUGUAAAGCACUUUAAGCGAGGAGGAGGCUUACCUGGUUAAUACCCAGGAUAAGUGGACGUUACUCGCAGAAUAAGCACCGGCUAACUCUGUGCCAGCAGCCGCGGUAAUACAGAGGGUGCAAGCGUU
rnacentral:rRNA from 1 species